AGAUUGGCUGGGAUGAUGAAUCAAUUAGAUGUGUGAACUCACCUUAUGAUCUAAAACUUUUGAGGCAUAAUUACUUUCUGACCUGCCAAUCU
rnacentral:snoRNA from 1 species